AUUGAACGCUGGCGGUAUGCCUAACACAUGCAAGUCGAACGAGUUGUAGCAAUACAGCUAGUGGCGGACGGGUGAGGAAUACAUAGGAAUUUGCCUUUAGGUGGGGGAUAGCCCAGGGAAACUUGGAGUAAUACCGCAUGAUGUCGUGAGACCAAAGUCGGGGACCGCAAGGCCUGGCGCCUUUAGAGAAGCCUAUGUCGGAUUAGCUUGUUGGUGAGGUAACGGCUCACCAAGGCGACGAUCCGUAACUGGUCUGAGAGGACGAUCAGU
rnacentral:rRNA from 1 species